rfam:Gossypium arboreum cultivar AKA8401 contig_3892_7, whole genome shotgun sequence.
UAUUAAAAAUUUAGUCCGUUUGUACUGUUAAAAACUAAUAUAGUUAACGGAAUAAUCAAAAAGUGACACGUGGCAUGCCACGUGUACCUCAUGGUUAUGUGCAAUGUUCAAUUUUUAACUGUAAAAAUAGAUGAAAUUUUGAACA